GUGGAUUGACCUAAGCCUGAGAACAUUAAGCUUCCCAUCCUUUCCAGAAGCAAAGGUGUAUUCCAACAGUUCAGACCACUUCAGCUAUUCUUGCAUGAAGAAUGUGCUGAAGAUUAUUUCAUCCUGAAUUUUGUUGUGAUCUAGAAACAUGGAGAAAGAACUACAAGAACAACCACGUUUCUUUUCAGUGAUGUCCUUGUGUAACAUGGAGCUUUUAUUUUAACUUGAAAAGUAAAUAACAUUUGACCAUUAAUAGAUCUUCUUAAAAUUCAUUCAGGCAUGAUUUAGGGUUAUUGAAGUAGUAAGAUCUGCUAGAAGACAAUGGAAGCAAAAAGAAGAAAUUAGAGCAGAAGAAAAUGAGGAACAGAGAAUGUGGAAAAAUUCCAGGAAUGAGAAAGAGACAGAAAACACAGAAGAAAGGCGGUAUAGACAGAAAAGAAAACUGUCUUUAACUAUUAUUGAGCAGGUUUAUGCAGUCUGAGACAGUGAUACAAAUAGCUACUCAGAUUCUGCAGUGUGUACGCUGGGUGAUAUAUGUUAACCUGGAAACUGAGAAUCCAAACAAAUGGAAGAUCAAGUGGUCCAUAACUAAAUGGAGCACUACAGAAGGAUAAAAUGAACCAGACUGGGCUGGAGGGAUUAUAUGCUGACAUAUGGAAAGUGGUGCAGAUGGAUUUCCUCAAGAUUAAAUAAGACAACUAAUAGUGUAGACCUUUGCCACCAGGCUAACUUGCAAAUUCCUUCUUUCUGAAAUCUAAUUUGAUUAAAGCGAAAAGCUGAAAGGCAAUUCUGAUUUGC
rnacentral:lncRNA from 7 species